rnacentral:lncRNA from 1 species
UGCUAUAGGCUCAGGUUGUGCAUCAACCACAAGCAAUGAUGAGGAAUUGGACCUGGUGUUAUCAUAGAAAUUGGGGGAAUUUGUCUGUUUGCUCUUAGUAACGGUGGUGGAAGAGGAAUUGGGCACGGUGUUAUCAAUGAAAGUGAGGGAAUUAGCCUGUUUGUUCUUAGCAAUGGUGGUGGAAGAGGAGGAAGAUGAUCUCAACAUUUUUAAUUAAGCUGAAGAUAGUAUUUGGCCUCAAUGAGGUUUUGUGUGUUUUUGGUUUGGUAAUCUGCAUCCGCCUAAAGGUCCCAUUAUAUACACAAUUUCAUGAUUGUCUGGGUCCCAAAUUGAACAAAAAAUAUUUUGAAACCUCUCAAUUGCUAUUAAUGUAAUGAAUGCAUAUAUUAUAUUUAAAUAUAUGACAAAUCUAUGUACAUUAAUUUCUUGAAAAAUAUAUGUAAAUAUAUAUAUAUAUAUAUAUAUAUAUAUAUAUAUAUAUAUAUUACGGAAUUACAUACAUACAUACAUACAUACAUACAUACAUACAUAUAGGCUCNNNNNNNNNNNNNNNNNNNNNNNNNNNNNNNNNNNNNNNNNNNNNNNNNNNNNNNNNNNNNNNNNNNNNNNNNNNNNNNNNNNNNNNNNNNNNNNNNNNNNNNNNNNNNNNNNNNNNNNNNNNNNNNNUAUAUAUAUAUAUAUAUAUAUAUAUAUAUAUAUAUAUAUAUAUAUAUAUAGAGAGAGAGAGAGAGUUGGGCUCAAUGGAGACCAAAAAUUUUGGAGUCAUUAGAGACUAUAAGAUCUACCGUUAAAUAAUAUGGCAAUUAAUGGACAUGAUUAAAUAUUCUUUGUCCUGCAUUUCUUGUCCUGCAUUUCUAAUUUUGUAAUAUUAAUAAUUUACACUAUUCUUGUCCUGCAUUUCUAGUAAUGUAUUAUUAAUAUUCUUGUCCUGCAUUUCUUGUUUUUAAUUUUAAUUCAAAACUAUGUUUGUAAUUUACACUAUUCUUGUCCUGCAUUUCUAGUAAUGUAAUAUUAAUAAUUUGUCCCACAUAUUUGUGAUACAUCUAAGUGUUAUUUUGUCUCGCAACAAAUUCAAUUCGUUGCAGGACAAUGACAAUGAGUUCAAUGCCAAUCAUAGAAGUGUCCAACCAUAUCUGUGUUUUGUAUGCAAUUAUUAUUUUUAUUUGUUAGGAUUUCGGUGAUUGAACACCAAUAUUAUGGAAUUAUUAUUUUAUGUUAUGCAAGAUUUAGAAGUACUGCUUGUUGUUCAUCGAUUUAGAAGUGCAGGACAUGAUAGGGAGAGAAAACAAACGUGCAGGACAAAAUAUAUGCAGCCGUUGGAUGUUUAAUGAUUGGAUGGCCAGGAUUAGGUCUCUACAGUCUCCAAAUAAUCCAGUCUCCAUAGAACUUUCUUCUAUAUAUAUAAACACACACACACACAUAUAGAGUCUAUGUUUAUGUAUAUUUUUCAACAAAUUAACGUACAUAGAUUUAUCAUAUAUUAAAAUAUAAUAUCUGUAGUCAUUGCAUUAAUAGCAAUUGAGAGGUUUCAAAAUAUUUUUUGUUAAAUUUGGGACCCAUACAAUCAUGUAAUUGUUUAUAUAUAUAUUGGGACCUUUAGGCGGAUGCACAUUACCAAACCAAAAACACACACAAACUCAUUCAGGCCAAAAACUAUCUCCAGCUUAAUAAAAAAUGUUGAAAUCAUCUUCCUCCUCGUCCACCACCAUUGCUAAGAACAAACAGGCUAAUUCCCCCACUUUCAUUGAUAACGCCGUGCCCAAUUCCUCUUCCACCGCCGUUACUAAGAGCAAGCAGACAAAUUUCCCCAAUUCCAAUGAUAACACCAGGCCUAAUUCUUCAUCAUUGCUUGUGAAUUGUGAUUGAUGCACAAACUGAGCCUAGAGCACCAGCCAGUGCAAGGACCUAUUUGUGUCCUAGAUGCGAUAUGGUCUUCUCCACCCAAAUGGCCAUGGGCGUUCUGGUGGCCUCCCAUGGCCAUUGGGGUGGAGAAGACCAUAUCGCAUGUGGGACACGGAUAGGUCCUUCCACUGGUUGGUGCUAUAGGCUCAGGUUGUGCAUCAAUCACAAGCAAUGAAGAGGAAUUGGGCCUGGUGUUAUCAUGGAAAUUGGGGGAAUUUGUCUGCUUGCUCUUAGUAACGGUGGUGGAAGAGGAAUUGGGCACGGUGUUAUCAAUGAAAGUGAGGGAAUUAGCAUGUUUCUUCUUAGCAAUGGUGGUGGAAGAGGAGGAAGAUGAUCUCAACAUUUUUAAUUAAGCUGGAGAUAGUAUUUGGCCUCAAUGAGGUUUUGUGUGUUUGUGGUUUGGUAAUCUGCAUUCGCCUAAAGGUCCUAAAAUAUACACAAUUUCAUGAUUGUCUGGGUCCCAAAUUGAACAAAAAAUAUUUUGAAACCUCUCAAUCGCUAUUAAUGUAAUGAAUGCAUAUAUUAUAUUUUAAUAUAUGACAAAUCUAUGUACAUUAAUUUCUUGAAAAAUAUACAUAAACAUAGACUAUAAAUAUAUAUAUAUAUAUAUAUAUAUAUAUAAUAUAUUAACACUCUAUAUAUUCAAUCUAAUCUAACGGCUCCGUCAGGGGCAUCACACACAAAUACAAUACACCUUCACAUACACAACCACACCUAAUCCCUACUAUUUUUAAUUUGAUUUUUCCCGUCAAUCCGUGACUCUUUUUUUUUUUUGAAAUCCGAUUUCACUGUAUUUUUCUCCAUCUCAACGAUCAGUUUGCAUACCAUAUGUGCUAUAUUUCUACAUGGUUCUUAUUUAUUUCUCAUUUUAAGGUUUCUCACUAGAGUAACACACUCUCUCUCUCUCUCUCUCUCUCUCUCUCUCUCUCUCUCUCUCUCUCUCUCUCUCUCUCUCUAUAUAUAUAUAUAUAUAUAUAUAUAUAUAUAUAUAUAUAUAUAUAUAUAGUGUCAAUAUAUAUAGAGUGUUAAUAUACACACACACAUAGAGUCUAUGUUUAUGUAUAUUUUUCAACAAAUUAAUGUACAUAGAUUUGUCAUAUAUUAAAAUAUAAUAUCUGUAUUCAUUGAUUAAUACCAAUUGAGAGGUUUCAAAAUAUUUUUUGUUAAAUUUGAGACCCACACAAUCAUGAAAUUGUGUAUAUAUUGGGACCUUUAGGCGGAUGCACAUAACCAAACCAAAAACACACACAAACUCAUUCAGGCCAAAUACUAUCUCCAGCUUAAUUAAAAAUGUUGAAAUCAUCUUCCUCCUCUUCCACCACCAUUGCUAAUAACAAACAGGCUAAUUCCCCCACUUUCAUUGAUAACACCGUGCCCAAUUCAUCUUCCACCAUCGUUACAAUGAGAAAGCAAACAAAUUCCCACAAUUCCCAUGAUAACACCGGGCCUAAUUCCUCAUCAUUGCUUGUGAAUUGUGAUUGAUGCAAAAACUGAGCCUAGAUCACCAGCCAGUGCAAGGACCUAUCUGUGUCCCAGAUGCGAUAUGGUCUUCUCCACCCAAAUGGCCAUGGGCGUUUUGGUGGCCGCCCAUGCCCAUUGGGGUGGAGAAGACCAUAUCGCAUCUGGGACACGGAUAGGUCCUUGCACUGGCUGGUGCUAUAGGCUCAGGUUGUGCAUCAAUCACAAGCAAUGAUGAGGAAUCAGGUCUGGUGUUAUCAUGGGAAUUGGGGGAUUUUGUCUGCUUGCUCUAAGUAAAGGUGGUGGAAGAGGAAUUGGGCACGGUGUUAUCAAUGAAAGUGGGAGAAUUAGCCUGUAUGUUCUUAGCAAUGGUGGUGGAAGAGGAGGAAGAUGAUCUCAACAUUUUUAAUUAAGCUGGAGAUAGUAUUUGGCCUCAAUGAGAUUUUGUGUGUUUUUGGUUUGGUAAUCUGCAUCCGCCUAAAGGUCCCAAUAUAUACACAAUUUCAUGAUUGUAUGGGUCCCAAAUUGAACAAAAAAUAUUUUGAAACCUCUCAAUUGCUAUUCAUGUAAUGAAUGCAUAUAUUAUAUUUUAAUAUAUGACAAAUCUAUGUACAUUAAUUUCUUGAAAAAUAUACAUAAACAUUUGAAUAUAUAUGUGUGUGUGUGUGUAUAUAUAUAUAUAUAGAGAGAGAGAGUUUUACUCCGGUGAGAACCCUUAAAAUGAGAGCUAAAUGAGAACCAUGUUGAAACAUAGCACAUAUGGUAUGCAAACUAAUAGUUGGGAAAUGGAGAAAAAUAUAGUGAAAUUGGUUUUCAAAAAAAGAACUCACGGAUUGACGGGAAAAAUCAAAUUAAAAACAGCAGGAAUUAGGUGGGCUUGUGUGUGUAAGGGUGUAUUGUAUUUGUGUGUAUUGCUCCUGACGGGGCCGUUAGAUUAGAUUGAAUAUAUGGCUGAGAUAAAAUCUCAUAUCUCACAUGAAUGUGUAGUUCUCAUAUGAGCACUUGCCAUAGUGUUACUCCAGUGAGAACCCUUAAAAUGAGAACUAAAUGAGAUCCAUGUCGAAACGUAGCACAUAUGGUAUGCAAACUGAUCAUCGGGAAAUGGAGAAAAAUACAGUGAAAUCGGAUUUCAAAAAAAAAGUUACGGAUUGACGGGGAAAAUCUAGAAAUUAAACCCC